rnacentral:rRNA from 1 species
AUUGAACGCUGGCGGCAGGCUUAACACAUGCAAGUCGAGCGGGGGAAGGUAGCUUGCUACCGGACCUAGCGGCGGACGGGUGAGUAAUGCUUAGGAAUCUGCCUAUUAGUGGGGGACAACAUCUCGAAAGGGAUGCUAAUACCGCAUACGUCCUACGGGAGAAAGCAGGGGAUCUUCGGACCUUGCGCUAAUAGAUGAGCCUAAGUCGGAUUAGCUAGUUGGUGGGGUAAAGGCCUACCAAGGCGACGAUCUGUAGCGGGUCUGAGAGGAUGUUCGAGCAGACUGGGGGAGAGACACGGCCCAGACGCCUACGGGAGGCAGCAGUGGCGAAUAUGGGACGAUGGGGGGAUGACUGAUGCAGCCAUGCCGCGUGUGUGAAGAAGGCCUUAUGGUUGUAAAGCACUUUAUGCGAGUAGGAGGAUACUUUAGUUAAUACCUAGAGAUAGGGGACGUUACUCGCAGAAUAAGCACCGGCUAACUCUGUGCCAGCCGCCGCCGUAA